rnacentral:rRNA from 1 species
UAAGAGGGGGAGUAACAUCCGGAAACGGGUGCUAAUACCGCAUAGUUUUCUUUGAUCGCAUGAUCGGGAAAGGAAAGACGGCCUUUGUGCUGUCGCUUAUGGAUGGACCCGCGGCGUAUUAGUUAGUUGGUGAGGUAACGGCUCACCAAGACGAUGAUACGUAGCCGACCUGAGAGGGUGAUCGGCCACAUUGGGACUGAGACACGGCCCAAACUCCUACGGGAGGCAGCAGUAGGGAAUCUUCCGCAAUGGACGAAAGUCUGACGGAGCAACGCCGCGUGAGUGAAGAAAAGGUUUUCGGAUCGUAAAACUCUGUUGUCAGAGAAGAACAAGUUGGAGAGUAACUGCUCCAGCCUUGACGGUAUCUGACCAGAAAGCCACGGCUAACUACGUGCCAGCAGCCGC